AAAUUGAAGAGUUUGAUCAUGGCUCAGAUUGAACGCUGGCGGCAGGCCUAACACAUGCAAGUCGAGCGGUAGCACAGAGAGCUUGCUCUCGGGUGACGAGCGGCGGACGGGUGAGUAAUGUCUGGGAAACUGCCUGAUGGAGGGGGAUAACUACUGGAAACGGUAGCUAAUACCGCAUAACG
rnacentral:rRNA from 3 species